UACAGAGGGUGCAAGCGUUAAUCGGAAUUACUGAGCGUAAAGCGUGCGUAGACGGUUACGUAAGUCGGGUGUGAAAGCCCCGGGCUCAACCUGGGAAUUGCAUUCGAGACUGUGUAGCUAGGGUGCGGAAGAGGGAAGCGGAAUUUCCGGUGUAGCGGUGAAAUGCGUAGAUAUCGGAAGGAACAUCAGUGGCGAAAGCGGCUUCCUGGUCCAGCACCGACGUUCAGGCACGAAAGCGUGGGGAGCAAACAGG
rnacentral:rRNA from 1 species